rnacentral:rRNA from 1 species
GGAAUCUUCCACAAUGGACGCAAGUCUGAUGGAGCAACGCCGCGUGAGUGAAGAAGGUCUUCGGAUCGUAAAACUCUGCUGUUAGAGAAGAACACGAGUGGGAGUAACUGUUCAUUCGAUGACGGUAUCUAACCAGCAAGUCACGGCUAACUACGUGCCAA